rnacentral:lncRNA from 1 species
UGUAUAGCAAAACUAAAAUAGCUUAUAUAUAAUGUUUAUUUUUAUUGAAAAAAUUAAUAUGCUAUCUGUUUCGUUUAUUUUUAAAAAAAUAAAUUUAACUGAAAGUAUGAAUCAAUUAUAAUUCGAACUUGAAACCUCGUAUACCAAUCACUACAAAACAGCUUAUAUAUAAUUAACUAAAAAGCAAACUCCAAAAUGAAAUA